rnacentral:rRNA from 1 species
CCUACGGGGGGCUGCAGUGGGGAAUAUUGGACAAUGGGGGGAACCCUGAUCCAGCCAUGCCGCGUGUGUGAAGAAGGCCCUCGGGUUGUAAAGCACUUUCAGUGAGGAAGAACGCCUGGUGGUUAAUACCCAUCAGGAAAGACAUCACUCACAGAAGAAGCACCGGCUAACUCCGUGCCAGCAGCCGCGGUAAUACGGAGGGUGCGAGCGUUAAUCGGAAUUACUGGGCGUAAAGCGCGCGUAGGUGGCUUGAUAAGCCGGUUGUGAAAGCCCCGGGCUCAACCUGGGAACGGCAUCCGGAACUGGCAAGCUAGAGUGCAGGAGAGGAAGGUAGAAUUCCCGGUGUAGCGGUGAAAUGCGUAGAGAUCGGGAGGAAUACCAGUGGCGAAGGCGGCCUUCUGGACUGACACUGACACUGAGGUGCGAAAGCGUGGGUAGCAAACAGGAUUAGAUACCCUUGUAGUC